rnacentral:tRNA from 1 species
GGCGGAUGUAGCCAAGUGGAUCAAGGCAKGGGAUUUGNGAA